rnacentral:rRNA from 1 species
AGAGCUUGCUCUCUGGGUGACGAGCGGCGGACGGGUGAGUAAUGUCUGGGAAACUGCCUGAUGGAGGGGGAUAACUACUGGAAACGGUAGCUAAUACCGCAUAACGUCUACGGACCAAAGUGGGGGACCUUCGGGCCUCACGCCAUCAGAUGUGCCCAGAUGGGAUUAGCUAGUAGGUGGGGUAAUGGCUCACCUAGGCGACGAUCCCUAGCUGGUCUGAGAGGAUGACCAGCCACACUGGAACUGAGACACGGUCCAGACUCCUACGGGAGGCAGCAGUGGGGAAUAUUGCACAAUGGGCGCAAGCCUGAUGCAGCCAUGCCGCGUGUGUGAAGAAGGCCUUAGGGUUGUAAAGCACUUUCAGCGAGGAGGAAGGGUUCAGUGUUAAUAGCACUGUGCAUUGACGUUACUCGCAGAAGAAGCACCGGCUAACUCCGUGCCAGCAGCCGCGGUAAUACGGAGGGUGCAAGCGUUAAUCGGAAUUACUGGGCGUAAAGCGCACGCAGGCGGUUUGUUAAGUCAGAUGUGAAAUCCCCGCGCUUAACGUGGGAACUGCAUUUGAAACUGGCAAGCUAGAGUCUUGUAGAGGGGGGUAGAAUUCCA